AGCUCCAAUAGCGUAUAUUAAAGUUGUUGCAGUUAAAAAGCUCGUAGUUGGAUGUCUACCCACGGACGGACGGCCCGCCUUCGGGUUGAGUGCUGGAAGUUCUGGGUUGUUUUUCGGUUGGCGGGUUUUCCCUUGAUUGGGCGAGCUUCGCGAUCCGGAUCGGUUACUUUGAAGAAAUUUGAGUGUUCAAAGCAGGCUUACGCCGUGAAAAUUGCAGCAUGGAAUAACAAGAUAGGACUGUCGUGUCUCAUUUUGUUGGUUCUGGGACCGUAGUAAUGAUUGAUAGGGACAGUUGGGGGUGCUGCUAUUCCGCGGCCAGAGGUGAAAUUCUCAGAUUCCCGGAAGAGCAACUUAUGCGAAAGCAUUCACCAAGGAUGUCUUCUUUAAUCAAGAACGAAAG
rnacentral:rRNA from 1 species